rnacentral:rRNA from 1 species
UAAGGGCGCACGGUGGAUGCCUUGGCACUAGAAGCCGAUGAAGGACGUUACUAACGACGAUAUGCUUUGGGGAGCUGUAAGUAAGCUUUGAUCCAGAGAUUUCCGAAUGGGGAAACCCAGCAUGAGUUAUGUCAUGUUAUCGAUAUGUGAAUACAUAGCAUAUCAGAAGGCACACCCGGAGAACUGAAACAUCUUAGUACCCGGAGGAAGAGAAAGAAAAUUCGAUUCCCUUAGUAGCGGCGAGCGAAACGGGAAGAGCCCAAACCAACAAGCUUGCUUGUUGGGGUUGUAGGACACUCUAUACGGAGUUACAAAGGACGACAUUAGACGAAUCAUCUGGAAAGAUGAAUCAAAGAAGGUAAUAAUCCUGUAGUCGAAAAUGUUGUCUCUCUUGAGUGGAUCCUGAGUACGACGGAGCACGUGAAAUUCCGUCGGAAUCUGGGAGGACCAUCUCCUAAGGCUAAAUACUCUCUAGUGACCGAUAGUGAACCAGUACCGUGAGGGAAAGGUGAAAAGCACCCCGGAAGGGGAGUGAAAUAGAACCUGAAACCGUGUGCUUACAAGUAGUCAGAGCCCGUUAAUGGGUGAUGGCGUGCCUUUUGUAGAAUGAACCGGCGAGUUACGAUUUGAUGCAAGGUUAAGCAGUAAAUGUGGAGCCGUAGCGAAAGCGAGUCUGAAUAGGGCGUUUAGUAUUUGGUCGUAGACCCGAAACCAGGUGAUCUACCCUUGGUCAGGUUGAAGUUCAGGUAACACUGAAUGGAGGACCGAACCGACUUACGUUGAA